rnacentral:rRNA from 1 species
GCAGUCGAACGAUGAUCCCAGCUUGCUGGGGGAUUAGUGGCGAACGGGUGAGUAACACGUGAGUAACCUGCCCUUGACUCUGGGAUAAGCCUGGGAAACUGGGUCUAAUACCGGAUAUGACUCCUCAUCGCAUGGUGGGGGGUGGAAAGCUUUUGUGGUUUUGGAUGGACUCGCGGCCUAUCAGCUUGUUGGUGGGGUAAUGGCCUACCAAGGCGACGACGGGUAGCCGGCCUGAGAGGGUGACCGGCCACACUGGGACUGAGACACGGCCCAGACUCCUACGGGAGGCAGCAGUGGGGAAUAUUGCACAAUGGGCGCAAGCCUGAUGCAGCGACGCCGCGUGAGGGAUGACGGCCUUCGGGUUGUAAACCUCUUUCAGUAGGGAAGAAGCGUAAGUGACGGUACCUGCAGAAGAAGCGCCGGCUAACUACGUGCCAGCAGCCGCGGUAAUACGUAGGGCGCAAGCGUUAUCCGGAAUUAUUGGGCGUAAAGAGCUCGUAGGCGGUUUGUCGCGUCUGCUGUGAAAGACCGGGGCUCAACUCCGGUUCUGCAGUGGGUACGGGCAGACUAGAGUGCAGUAGGGGAGACUGGAAUUCCUGGUGUAGCGGUGAAAUGCGC